rnacentral:rRNA from 1 species
GAUGAACGCUGGCGGCGUGCCUAAUACAUGCAAGUCGAGCGAACAGAAGAGGAGCUUGCUCCUCUGACGUUAGCGGCGGACGGGUGAGUAACACGUGGAUAACCUACCUAUAAGACUGGGAUAACUUCGGGAAACCGGAGCUAAUACCGGAUAAUAUAUUGAACCGCAUGGUUCAAUAGUGAAAGACGGUUUUGCUGUCACUUAUAGAUGGAUCCGCGCCGCAUUAGCUAGUUGGUAAGGUAACGGCUUACCAAGGCGACGAUGCGUAGCCGACCUGAGAGGGUGAUCGGCCACACUGGAACUGAGACACGGUCCAGACUCCUACGGGAGGCAGCAGUAGGGAAUCUUCCGCAAUGGGCGAAAGCCUGACGGAGCAACGCCGCGUGAGUGAUGAAGGUCUUCGGAUCGUAAAACUCUGUUAUUAGGGAAGAACAAAUGUGUAAGUAACUAUGCACGUCUUGACGGUACCUAAUCAGAAAGCCACGGCUAACUACGUG